UCGCGGUUGCGCUUUGAUAUCCUUUCGGCUCGUGAGUAUUGAUGGGAAGGAUGUCCGCCGGGUCUCUCCUCUCCACGUGUUUUAAUUCCCUCACCCUCAGGGAGUCAAGAGAUACAAGAUGGAUCAAAAGAAGAGAGGCAGACUAACUUGAGAGCCCACGAGUGCUGUCCUUGUGGCCAGCAUUUGAUACAACUCGUCAAACAUACACACCAUACAUCUUACUAAGGGAAAGGUGAAGAGGAAAAGGAAGAAGGUCGCUGCUGCCCCCCUGGUGACCAAGAAAGUGGUCAACCCACUCUGAGAAGCGACCCAGGAACUUUGGCAUUGGUGAAGACAUCCAUCCCCAGCAUGACCUGAUCCAGGAGAUGCGCAUGACCAUGAAAAGGUGUCGAUAGCGCCAGAAGGCCAUUCGCCAGUUUAAGCAGCCUCUUGACAACCACGCAGGCAGCUGCAGUAACAGCUUGAGAAAUCCAUUGUUAGUCACCCGAGGCUCCUCCCCAGGGCGGUGUGGGGCUUCAAUCAUCCUCCUCCCCAUAGGUCUCCAUUGAAGGGGAGGCAGUGCUGGGCAUGGAGGGAAGCCCUUUGCUCCAGGGUUGCAGAAAGCUGUUUAGCCUCCUGGACAACUACCACCUUGAGACCAGGACUGCCAAGGAGAGGCUGACCAGGCCGCCAGCAAGCCUUCUGUGCCCACCUAGCCCUUUGUUCAGGUGUGCCAGGGAGUGAACCAAGCGGUGAAAGUGAUGGAGCAGAAGGUGCUGCUAUUAUGCAUUGCCAACGAUGUGGAGCCCAUUGAGGAGGUGCUGUUCCUGCCUGCCCUGUGUUGCAAGAUGGGCAUUCCUUACUGCAUCGUGAAGGACAAGGCUCGCCUGGGCUAUGUGGUCUUGAUGAGGAAGUCUUUCUGUGUGGCUCUCAUUGAUGUUGCGGAAAAUGACAGGAGCAAACUAUCAAGACUUAAGUACAAAGACUGCCAUUUAGCUGGCACAAAAACAUUAAGUACAAUAAACUGAUCCAUGGAA